CCCUUAGAUGUUCUGGGCAGCACGCGCGCUACAAUGGUCUUCGCAAACGGAUGCAUUCUCGAAGGAGAAUGCCAAUCUUGGAAUCUAUGCCUUGGUCGGGACAGUUGCUUGCAACUUUUCGACUCGAACCAGGAAUUCCUUGUAAUCGUGAUUCAUCACAUCACGAUGAAUACGUCCCUGCCCUUUGUACACACCGCCCGUCGCCCCUACCGAUCGAAGAGUUAGGUGAAUUGUUUUGAUCGAUAAGAUUUGACUAUGGUCAACUCUCGUUGUGAAAUUCUGUGAAUCUGACUGUUUAGAGGAAGGAGAAGUCGUAACA
rnacentral:rRNA from 1 species